rnacentral:rRNA from 1 species
GUCUCUAAGCAAUGGAUGUCUUGGCUCCUCACACGAUGAAGAACGUGGCAUAAUGUGUUAAGUAACCGGAGUUGCAAACAUCAUGACAGGUAAUCUUUGAAUGCAAAUUGCGCUAAACUCGAUCUCGGUCGAGAAGCAUGGGUGUGACAGUACUA